AAUAUUGCACAAUGGGCGAAAGCCUGAUGCAGCAACGCCGCGUGCGCGAUGAAGGCCUUCGGGUCGUAAGCGCUUUUCGGGGAGAUGAGGAAGGACAGUAUCCCCGGAAUAAGGCUCGGCUAACUACGUGCCAGCAGCCGCGGUAAAACGUAGGAGCCAAGCGUUAUCCGAAUUCACUGGGCGUAAAGCGUGUGCAGGCGGACCAGUAAGUUUGAUGUGAAAUCUCCCGGCUCAACUGGGAGAGGCCGUUGAAUACUGCGGGUCUCGAGGGCAACAGAGGGAGGUGGAAUUCCCGGUGUAGUGGUGAAAUGCGUAGAUAUCGGGAGGAACACCAGUGGCGAAAGCGGCCUCCUGGGUUGCACCUGACGCUCAGACACGAAAGCUAGGGGAGCGAACGGGAUUAGAAACCCCGGUAGUCCUAGCCGUAAACGAUGUAGACUUGGUGUUGGAGGGGUAAAAGCCUUCAGUGCCGGAGCAAACGCGAUAAGUCUACCGCCUGGGGACUACGGCCGCAAGGUUA
rnacentral:rRNA from 1 species